rnacentral:rRNA from 1 species
UACAGAGGGGGCGAGCGUUGUUCGGAAUUACUGGGCGUAAGGGGCGCGUAGGCGGCCUCUUAAGUCGAACGUGAAAUCCCCGGGCUCAACCCGGGAACUGCGUCCGAUACUGGGAGGCUUGAAUCCGGGAGAGGGAUGUGGAAUUCCAGGUGUAGCGGUGAAAUGCGUAGAUAUCUGGAGGAACACCGGUGGCGAAGGCGGCAUCCUGGACCGGUAGUUGACGGCUGAGGCGCGAAAAGCCAGGGGAGCAAAGCGGG